rnacentral:hammerhead_ribozyme from 1 species
AUCCAGAUGACGAGUCCAAAUUAGGACGAAAUGCUGGAU